rnacentral:rRNA from 1 species
GGACGAACGCUGGCGGCACGCUUAACACAUGCAAGUCGAACGGAGUUAUCGGAGCUGCUCUGGAUAACUAGUGGCGGACGGGUGAGUAACACGUGAGCAACCUGCCUUCAAGAGCGGAAUAGCUUCUGGAAACGGAUGGUAAUACCGCAUAACAUUACCGGACCGCAUGAUCUGGUAAUCAAAGAUUUUAUCGCUUGAAGAUGGGCUCGCGUCUGAUUAGAUAGUUGGUGGGGUAACGGCCUACCAAGUCGACGAUCAGUAGCCGGACUGAGAGGUUGAACGGCCACAUUGGGACUGAGACACGGCCCAGACUCCUACGGGAGGCAGCAGUGGGGAAUAUUGCACAAUGGGCGCAAGCCUGAUGCCAGCGAUGCCGCGUGGAGGAAGAAGGUUUUCGGAUUGUAAACUCCUUAUCUGAGGGACGAUAAUGACGGUACCUCAGGAGAAGGCUCCGGCUAACUACGUGCCAGCCGCAGC